AGCGAACGCUGGCGGCAGGCCUAACACAUGCAAGUCGAACGGACCCUUCGGGGUUAGUGGCGGACGGGUGAGUAACACGUGGGAACGUGCCUUUAGGUUCGGAAUAGCUCCUGGAAACGGGUGGUAAUGCCGAAUGUGCCCUUCGGGGGAAAGAUUUAUCGCCUUUAGAGUGGCCCGCGUCUGAUUAGCUAGUUGGUGGGGUAAUGGCCCACCAAGGCUACGAUCAGUAGCUGGUCUGAGAGGAUGACCAGCCACAUUGGGACUGAGACACGGCCCAAACUCCUACGGGAGGCAGCAGUGGGGAAUCUUGCGCAAUGGGCGAAAGCCUGACGCAGCCAUGCCGCGUGUAUGAUGAAGGUCUUAGGAUUGUAAAAUACUUUCACCGGUGAAGAUAAUGACUGUAGCCGGAGAAGAAGCCCCGGCUAACUUCGUG
rnacentral:rRNA from 1 species